rnacentral:tRNA from 1 species
GCCCGGAUGGCGAAACUGGUAUACGCAAGGGACUUAAAAUCCCUCGACUCUGUCAUGCGGGUCCGAGCCCCGCUCCGGGCA